CUUUGAACAAUGGUCUGCGAGAUGUGACCGUUUGAUUAAAUAUGACUUGAAUGACAUUGCCAUUAUAAAGUUAACAGACUGGACAUCCGAUGUAAUUGAACCUGCAGCACUGUGUACUUUAAAAGUUCAUGAACUGUAUGGGGUAGAAACAGUUUUGGCAGGCUGGGGUGUAUUAAGUAAUAAUUCAGUAUCUUCGAUUGCACAUACAGCUAAAGCAAGGAUUUUAUCGAAAAGUGAUUGUGAAGAAAGAGUCAGUACGCUUCUCACUUAUGGCGUUUAUAUUGAGAAGGUACUCCUGUGCACCAUUGCGGAACCACACGUAUUGUUGAACUUUGGUGACAGUGGUGGUCCUCUUAUAUAUAAUAAUCAAAUUAUAGGCAUUAAUAAAGGUGUGUGUUCUGAUACGCUCCAGUACAAUAAUUCAAAUCAAAUAAACAUACAUUUUCAUA